AUGACAUUCGUCUCAACCGAACGACUAACCUUCAUAUCAUUUGUAGCUGAAGACUCAAUAGUCAUUUGCAGAGUAACCUCUAUAGUAGUCAGAGCCUUUGUCUCAGAAGGAUGGGGCACCUCUGUCUUCUCAAGAGGAUGUGACACCCCUGUAUCCAAAACACCAUUUGCAUGUCAUCCUCAAUUGAUUCCUGGAUAUCCUCAACAAUUGGCUAACCAUCUCCUUGUUUGGUCCAUCCAACAACAUCUAUAG